rnacentral:rRNA from 1 species
AUGGCUUCCAGCUCCAACAACUCCCCAUCAUUCAAGAUCAUACUCGGGUCGUCGUCCCCAACGCGCCGCGCGAUUCUGUCAGACAUGGGAUACCAGUUCGCCACCAUGAGCGCUGACAUCGACGAGAGGGCCAUCAGGAGGGAGAAGCCAGAGGAGCUGGUCAAGGCCUUGGCCGAAGCCAAGGCCGACGCCAUUAAACUGAAUCUUGUUGACGGCUGCGGUGAUGGAGACAGCAGAGAUCGGCCUACCCUUCUGAUCACCUCAGACCAGGUCAUGGUGAGCAAGGGGGCGAUCAGGGAGAGGCCGAGGAGCACGGAAGAAGCCAGAGAAUUCAUCAAGGGGUACUCGGGCGAUCGAGCGUUUGCGGUGAACUAUGUUCUGGUGACCAACCUGAGCACCGGAGGCAGGAAGGGGGGCUGGGAUAUACCCGAGAUCUGUUUCCACCACAUACCGCACGAGUUCAUCGAGGAAAUCGUGAAGGAGGGAGACAUGACGUGCGUGGCCGGGGGGCUCAAGCUGACGCAUCCAUCGGUGCUGCCUUUCAUCAGGGAACUAGUCGGUACGGCAGACAGUGUCCGAGGGCUUCCGAGGGAGCUCACGGAGAAGCUCAUCCGAGAAUCGCUGGAAGCCACAUCCUAG